rnacentral:rRNA from 1 species
UACGUAGGUGACCAGCGUUGUCCGGAUUUACUGGGCGUAAAGAGCGCGCAGGCGGUCGUUCAAGUCGAGUGUGAAAGCCCCCGGCUCAACUGGGGAGGGUCACUCGAUACUGAUCGACUGGAAGGCAGGAGAGGGAAGCGGAAUUCCCGGUGUAGUGGUGAAAUGCGUAGAUAUCGGGAGGAACACCAGUGGCGAAGGCGGCUUCCUGGCCUGUUCUUGACGCUGAGGCGCGAAAGUGUGGGGAGCGAACAGG